rnacentral:sRNA from 1 species
UAAAUAAGGGAACAGCAUCACAGAUGUUAAAUCCCUGAUAACUGAUGCCUCGGGGACAGCUCGAAGAAAGUGUGUUCCAAAACUGAUGAGGUCAUGAGUCUGUUGUCUCCCAAACUAGAUUCACCCAAGAGCAACAAGUUACGAAGGCAUCGAGAAAUCAUGGACAACAGCUGAGUCUUAUCACUGUGUGGCAGGGAUGGAUUUCUGGAAGACAUGCAAGAAGAGGCUACUGAUGAGAGUGCACCCCAGUUGCAACAAGGAGUCACAUUAAAAGUACUGACCUGAGUCUCAGAAGACAUUUUGAACUUCUAAAUAAUAUUUAACCGAUGAUAAAUAAGAUACUGUAACCAGUAUCCUUCGCGUUCACUUUAAGAUAUAUUAAUUCCACACAGAUUCAAGUCUUCUAACUGUCCAUGUUAAGGAUCCAUUGAAUUGGAGCUGUAUCAGUGCUCUUCAUGAAACAUAAAUGUGGCUGCAUUUCUAAGGAAAAGUGACCCUUGCUCAUCCAGCAGUCAUCAGUACUAAUGGAACCCAGGAUUAUUUCCAAGAAGUGCAAAUAUGGGAUUAAAUUUUUCUUUUGAAGAAUUCGAUUGGUUGGCUGAGGAGAGAAUUCAAUGGAUUUCCCAUUGAUGAAGUUGAGAUUUGGACUUUCUAUCUUUGUGACGAACUGAGUUGGAGUUUUGAUGGGGAAUUGCACUGGAACUGUAUAUUGCUUUUGGUAAAAUGGACAUUUUUAUUAUGUUAAUCCUACUGAUACGUGAUCAUGGAAAGUCUUACAAUUUUCUGAUGUCUUUUUUGCGUUCUUGCUUCAGAGAUUUGAAAUUCUUGUCAUACACACCUUUCACUUGCCAGUUAGAGUCACACCAAUAUAUUAUGCAUUACUCAUGGCUAAUAUAAGGGGUGUUGUUUCCCUAAUAUCUUUCUCAAUAUGUUUGUAUUUUCCAUAGAGGAAGGCUACUGAUUUGAGGUGCCACAACAUGGGCCAAAAAAAUAGAAAUCAUCAGAGUUCCAUACAUGAAGCAUCAUUAAGAAUUAGGGAAUUGAUUUCCAUAUAUUUUCCUCCUCUGACCAAUGAAAUAAAUGCAAUCUCCCAUAAGUACUUUGAUUUAAUUUUAAUGUCUUAAGAAGGAUGACCAUAACAUCUAUAUUUUCUUUGAAUUACUAAUUUUUGAAAAUAGAUUUUUUCACACAAUAUAUUCUAAUUUUGUCAUACCCUAUAUUCCCCUAACUUAUUCUUGCCACCUGCAGAACCACCUAAUGCUAAUGUUCUCUCUCUCUCUCUCUCUCUCUCUCUCUCUCUCUCUCUCUC